GCAUGCCUAGCUCAACUGGAUAGAGCAGCUCCCUACGAAGGAGAAGGUUCGGGGUUCGAGUCCCGGGGUGCGCACCA
rnacentral:tRNA from 1 species